GGAUGAACGCUGGCGGCGUGCCUACUACAUGCAAUUCGAGCGAACGGCCGAGAAUCUUGCUUCUCUGAUGUUAGCGGCGGACUGUUGAUUAACACGUUGAUAACCUACCUAUAAUACUGGGUUAACUUCGGGAAACCGUAGCUAAUCCCGGAUAAUAUUUUUAACCUCAUGGUUCAAAAUUGAAAGACGUUCUUGCUUUCCCUUAUAGUUGUUUCCGCGCUGCAUUAGCUAGUUGGUAAGGUAACGGCUUACCAAGGCAACGAUGCAUAGCCGACCUGAGAGGGGGAUAGGCAACACGGGAACUGAGACACGGUAAAGACAAAUACGGGAGGCAGCAGUAGGGAAGAUUGCGCAAUGGGCGAAAGCCUGACGGAGCAACGCCGCGUGAGUGAUGAAGGUCUUAGGAUCGUAAAACUCUGUUAUUAGGGAAGAACAUAUGUGUAAGUAAAUGUGCACAUCUUGACGGUACCUAAUCAGAAAGCAACGGCUAACUACGUG
rnacentral:rRNA from 1 species